CGUGUAGGCGGGCUCGUUAGUCGGGUGUGAAAUCCCUCGGCUUAACCGGGGAACUGCACCCGAAACUGCGAGUCUUGAGUCAAUCAGGGGUCGAUGGAACUUCAGGUGGAGCGGUGAAAUGCUUAGAUAUGCCAUAGAACACCAAUUGCGAAGGCAGCUCACUAAGCUAUAACUGACGCUGAGGCACGAAAGCGUGGGGAGCGAACAGGAUUAGAUACCCUGGUAGUCC
rnacentral:rRNA from 1 species